GCAGCUGGAUUAAGUGUUUUAUUACUUACCACUGAGGACACUUCUGCUUGACACAAAUAUAUUUGUUAGAGUAUUUUAUUAAAUUACACCAAACAUCUGAAUUCAGAGUGGAGCUAUUCAGAAGCUAAAUGUAAAAAGAAUUGACAUUACAGUGUCUUAGCAGCAGUAAAGCCGUAAUCAAUUUUGACAGAUAUUGCUCAUGUGCUUGAGGCUCAAUGAGAAGUUGUUCAGAUACCACCAAGGUGAGGCAGAAAGGAAUGAAAUAUCAGGAGCUCUGUGGAAAUGCAGCACUGUGGAGAAAGACUCUCCAGAGUUGCUUUUCCCUACUUUUCACCAACAAGAAAAAAAAAAAAUAUAUAUAUAUAUAAUUAGAGGGCUGUAGGUAAAUAAGAGGUAUACUAAAUACUUUGGUAUAUCUAAAUACUUUGGUAUUUAGAAAGAUUUGGCAUAUUUGUCAAUAAUCUGGUCUCCUGACUUUUAAUGCUGCGUGGAGAGCACAUGUAUGGCUUUAAAACAUAAACUUCUGGCCCCAAAUCUGCAGAAAAAUCAUAAGUGGAAAAUAAAGUUUUCUCACUGGGUGUUUUUAAAGCUAUGUUUUUUAAGACUUUUUUUCAUAAGUUUCCUAAUUCUCAUUUGCUUUUUGAGUGUUUGGGAUCAAUAACUUUGGGUCUUUGAUUUAAGCUGUCUCUGGCAGGAGAAUUAGGAAGAGAUGGUCUCUGGUGCCUGCUCUACCCCAAGAACACCUGCAAUGACCUACCAAAAGAAACCUCAGAAAGGAAAAGAAGAAACUACAGAUGUAAAAAGAACCAAACAUGCCUCUCCACUUUUGUUUUUCUUAAGGCGCUUUUCCCCUGGCACACACACAAAAUCCUGCCUGAGCCGUGGUUGUACUGCAGUGGAUUCAGGCCACAUUUAAAUACAAUGGAGAGAGCUGGAGCUGCGUGUGCUCGGAGUGCUGGCCACAAACAUCUCCAGCCCUGCUGCUGGCACUUCUGAAAAACAUGGACAUUUGUUCUGCUUGUCUUGAACUGGGGUAUUGCUGACCUGGCUGCAGGGAUCUCUCCAUCAGCUAACCACUGCCUCACAAGAGAUGAAACACCACGAUCAGUCAUGGCUGGAGGAAGAAUCACGAAUGUCAUCUAGUCCCAUUUUUGCUACGUUUGGGAUAAUCAUGACAUUUGCAAGAGAGUGAGUGAUUUUUGGAGCUUGCUUGGCUGAAUCCUGGCCUUUAUGAAGACAGCUGCUUUCAAGGAGUGCUUCAUUAAAAAUGUCUUCACUGAAAAUCAUCACUUAACUAUGUAGGCAUUUUCUUAGAUGCUUUCCUCUUAUUUGGAAGCUUAGACAUCCCAAAUAUCCUCAGUUUUAAAUUAGUCUAAGUACAGGGAUGCCACCAUUGGUACACUCAGUGGUAACAAAACCCAACUACAAACUCAGAAUUCAGAAUAAAAUGCAGUAGACUGUUAAGAUCCUAAAGAAC
rnacentral:lncRNA from 1 species